rnacentral:rRNA from 1 species
UAGGGAAUCUUCCACAAUGGGCGAAAGCCUGAUGGAGCAACGCCGCGUGAGCGAAGAAGGUCUUCGGAUCGUAAAGCUCUGUUGUAAGGGAAGAACAAGUGCGGUAGUAACUGACCGCACCCUGACGGUACCUUACGAGAAAGCCACGGCUAACUACGUGCCAGCAGCCGCGGUAAUACGUAGGUGGCGAGCGUUGUCCGGAAUUAUUGGGCGUAAAGCGCGCGCAGGCGGUCUCUUAAGUCUGAUGUGAAAGCCCCCGGCUCAACCGGGGAGGGUCAUUGGAAACUGGGAGACUUGAGUGCAGGAGAGGGAAGCGGAAUUCCAUGUGUAGCGGUGAAAUGCGUAGAGAUAUGGAGGAACACCAGUGGCGAAGGCGGCUUCCUGGCCUGUAACUGACGCUGAGGCGCGAAAGCGUGGGGAGCAAACA